UCAGGGCACAUGGGGUGAAAUCCUAGCUAUACUGAAGCCAGAGGGGCCCAGACUGGUUUUCUCCUCACAUUCUCGAGUCCUUCAGGCUUUGCAGCUGUGCUGCAAAAGGUGACAUGGCUGCAGAAUCCAAAGGUGCAGAGGCAGCACAAGCUAUCCAAAUUGGCUACUUUCCCAUAAGUAUUAUUUUACAUUCACCAUGCUGAACUGUGUUUGAUAUUUAUUGAUCUACAUAGCUGGUGUUUUUUGAGCACAACAUGAUGUUUGUGGGUCAGGGAUUUUUUUAACAUUCGGUGUUCAUCUCUAUUUCAUAAAUCAAAAAUAUAGUAUUUCCUGAAAACAAAACCCUUGUUUUUAAUGCUGCCCUGUCCAUAGAACCAGACCUCCAUUAACAUAGCUCCAUUGACUUCUGCCGGGUGUACUGAUUUUUAACAACUAAAAAUCUGGGCUGUGAUAUAUUGGGCUAAAUUAGCUUCCUGUACUCUGGUCCACAUUCAUCCCACUUUGCUUUUUGUAACCAAGGCACCUUCCUUGAGAGCACAUUCACAUCAUCUACAGUCUGUUAAUAGAAAAGUAGCUGCUCUAGUAAUAUGAAAGACAUAUGCAUUGCCAGAGAUCUUAGCUGUAAUUUUUCUCUGGACAUGUCAGCUUAGGGUGAUUAGGUAACCAUCUUGCAUGGCUCAGAUCAGUACCUUAAACUGUGUGAUGAAUCUGAGCUUUAGACCUUUCAUCCAGGGUCCCUGAGGGCAAGUGGGAUUCAGCUUCAGCUUUAGACACUUCACUGUAGAUGUCUAAAAAUAAGGAUGCAAGGAAUGCUCUUUCACUAUGAGGCUGGUCAGUCACUGAAAAUUACUCUUAGGUUUAUAUGAGGAAGAAAGGGCAAACUAUUUUUCUCAAUACACAGAGCACAUUUAUUUAGUGUGUCAAGAGCUGGCUGAAUUUCCUAUAUUGUCCAUAGAACAAAAAAAUUGAAAACUUAACUCUUAAUAAAAAAAACAUUUUUGUGCUUGUAAAAUUUCUGUUGUGACAUUUCAGAAAAAAACACAAACAAACAAACAAACAAAACACCUAGUUUGGUAGCCUUCUGCUUUUGACUGAAAGUUCAGGUUCCCUGGCUGAACUAUAUCUCCUAACUAGUACAGUGAUAUCCAGCCUCUGUAAGCAGACGUGACUCAUGAUCAGGUCCUGUGGAAAGUACUCUUCUGAGCUGUGGCAUUACAGGGCUGGACUUUACUUUUAUUAGGAUACACUAAACUCAGAACUCCAGGGAAAAAAAUCCAAGUAAAAUAUUGUGAUUCUCUCAAAUAGGUUUUGGAGGAGUUUUUGAUCAAAAUGAAACAGACAAGUCCCAAGACACCAUACACAGACAAGUAUUUUUCUCCAACAAUAAAAAUAUCUAGUCCAAAAUUUAGACAAUAAUAUUCUGCAUAAAGUCUAAUAGAAAUCCAACAAUCAUGAUUAAAGUGUAUAUUUUUCAUAAAUAAACAUUAAUAAGUUAAAAAGGGUUUCUCACAUUUUCCAUGUUCACCUGAGAGAUCAAGUCUCUGAGAUAACACUAUUGCUGCUUUAUAACAGUAUCAGAGUUGAAGCACUGCAAGAUGAAUUUUGGUCUUGUCACCACUUCCCUGCAUGCCCCAAAAUGAAAACACCCUACAUUUUACCAACUUAAUGAAAGAUUUCAUUCGUGUGGGACUUGAACGUUGUCAGGGUCAGGCACAGCAAUCAAACAGUCACAGUGAAGGAUGAAAAUGAUAAGCAUCAUACCAAGAUAAGCUUUUUCCCUUCUUCUGCACAAUAAUUUUCCUGGUGGAUAUUUGUAAAAGAGUCUUUAUUUUACAAAGAGAAGACUACACUGCAGCAGAACCAAUUGGGCAAUGUUUUUUUUCAUAUUUCAAAAACAUGGGGUUUCUUCAUCUGUUGUAAAUCAACAAAGCUCCAAGUGAAAAUCUGACCUGACAUUUAAAGUUAUGGAAAGGCUGUACAAAAUGCUGGGAAGCAAGAACGGCAGAGCCAGGUACUGCUGGAAGACCUUGGAGAUGGUUUCCCCAUUCAUGUGAUAUGGAAGAUAAUGUCUACUACCCUUUCUAGACUGCAAUGCUUUAAGAGAUAGAGACUAAUUAGGACUUUGGGUGGGGAACUUUUUGCAUUUUUGCGUUAUAGCAAGUGUCAAACAAUAUUCAUGAAGCUAUUUAGCUUCUUGCAGUUCAAUAUUUCUUAGGAACAACCAAUGGGAAGAGAUCAGAUGUUUGAAGGCUAAGCUACUAAAUUUCCUGAAGACUUUGAGCCAAAUAUCCAAUGAAAUGAUCCCAUAAAAUAAGCAUUAGCUUGCCAAUCAACAAUUUGUUAAAUAGCCAAUUAAUGAAAAUUUGAUAAGAUAUGAUGUUUUUUUAAGCAAAAAACCCCGACCUUAAUUUACAUUCCAGAUGGCAAAAUUGGGUAAAAUGGGCAAUGAAAUGUUAGAAAAGGGGCGAGUCCAGCCAAAGCCUUGCUUGUUUUUCCAAGACUGGGUUAGGUAGAAAAAAAGUGUGGCUCAAGUCCGAAGUAUCCCCCCAGAACUAAUGUUUCUCAGAUCUGGCAGGCCAAUAAGCAGACAUUCAGUGCAUAAAUAACAGCCAGACAUUUUAUUAGAUUUUCUCCAAAUUUAUCAGUUUUCAGGAAUCCUAAACUGAGAUUUGUUUUCUAGGUGUUUGUGAAAAUAUUAUUCCUGAGCAUUUUUGAGGGGGUAGUUAAGAAAAGAACCAAGACCAAAAUUUGUUCUUCUAAACAGUCCUCUUAUUUCCACUAAAGGAUGUAAAUCAGAGGAAAAUUAGGAGAAUUAGCAUUCAUGAUGCUCAAGAAAAAAAUUGUUUGCAGGAAGGGGAACUAACUGGCACACUUAAAGAUUGGGGAAUCAUUAGCUGUCUGAACAAAGUCUGUUGUGAACCAUUCCAGACAGCACUUAUUCCAUGGUAUUUCCAUAUGGUUAUGGGGAAAACAGAAUUGCAUGACAGUGAGAUACUUGACCCAAAACACAUGGCAAACCUAGGAGAUGGCAAUUACAGAUCAUCAUGGACAAAAGGAGCAGGAACACAGUGAGAGAGAGAUCUGCUGUUGAGAGACAGUAAGGAAAAGAAGACUGUGCCUUCACUUGCUGCCUGCCACAUUUAAGAAGAUGCAGCCCUUCACUGUAAAGCAUUUACAUAAGACUUCAAGUAAGGCCAGACCCAUGGAUUUGGAUAAAAACAUCUCUCUUUGGCAAGCAGCAAACGAAAGUGUGCUGAAGGUAGGCUGGGUAUCCAGCAAUCUCCAAUUCAUCCACAAGCAUGGGUUAUAGCACAACAUAGGCAUGUAAAUUCAGAACAGAACUAUCUCCUUGGUAGACAAGAAAGUUCAGGCUGGUAAAUAUACGAUAGCUCCAUUCCUGUUUUGACAGUUCUGUGGGUCCAGCAAUAAAUUCUGGACUGAUUUUUAUUUGAUCCCCUCACUGUCUCACGAUAAAUUUGUGCCAGCACUGACUCUCAAAGUACAGAUUAUAUGCUUCCCUUUCACAUCAUGAGACAUUAAAUUCCACAUAUAUCACACGUUUAUAGCAGAUGUUCCUAAACAGACAAACCAGGUGCUAAACAUAUUUUAUUCUGAUGGGUAAUUUUUGAAAUUAUUGCAAUCAAUGAGCUAAUAAUGCUGGUGGUAAUGAUGAAGUCAAGUUAUUAUUACCCAUUACAUUUAAUCAUUGACAGCAAGUUAAUUGGACCUAAUUGGAGAAAUCAUCAUAAAUAACAUGGAGCAGAUGGCAGACGUUUGUUUUUCCACUUCCAAAUCUAUCUAACAGAGUAAUAGAUAAAGUUUGGAUGAAUCAGUGUAAAAGGGCAGAGGGCGUGUAUAUUCCCAUAUAAAGCUAUAGUUCCCUUUGGCAAAGUUGCAAGUCCAAAAGGUGCAGAGAGCUUUGACAACGUUGGAAAGCUACACAAAACUUUUUAGCUGUACCAUGUCUCCCAGCUUUUUUAUACACUGGUCACAAUCCUGAGUGCUCUCUUAGUUUCAGCAAUGGGACUAGAGGGUGGUGUAGGCAAAAGGGUACAAAUUAAAAAGGAAUCAGGAAAGGGAAAACUGAUCUGCUCAAACAGAUGUGUUUAAAAUACAAACUUCUUCAUCUGACCUUAUCACUGGAGACUCCCUUUGGGGAGAAAUAGGUGCUUCCUGGGUGUGACUGAUUUCAUUCUAACACGGAGAGGCUAGAAUAGCAAGCCAAACUGUUCCUCCCUACCAAAUAUAAAUGGUGUCAGAUGGAAAUGUCGACACACAGAUGUCUAAGUGAGACGAUCCCACCCAAUUUGUACACAAAUUGAGCCAAAGGCUAGGGAAUGGAGCAAAAAAUUAUGCUUCUCUUAACAGCAGUAUGUCCACACAGGACAAGAAGUAGUGACUGCAGGAAUGGGAGCAGUGUUCGUGCUUUAACCACCAGGAGUUGUAGCAUUGUAGUUUCCUCACAGGUCAGCAGCCCAAGCUUACAAGGGCUUUUGCUACUGAAUCAAAAACUUUCAAGAUGCUGAAGCUCAGCACAGAUUAACAGCAGGAAUGGCCCCUUACAUGCAUGUUGCCUGCACUAAUUAAGACUCUUCCUGGAUGUUUCCCAGGCACAGCUUCAGCUCUUCCCAUUAAGUAGCUGAAGUCACCUACCCAGUCCUUGAGUGUAGGGAAGUUUAGAAAUAUAGAAGAAACCAGACCAGCAGAGUCUCUGCUGCUUUUUCUUUUGUUAGUUUAGAUCUAAUAACAGAGUCCAUAAACUAGUGUGACUUUUUUUCUGAAGUCUGUAUUGUUAUCUUUUAUUGUAAGAGAAAAAAAUAAACACGUAAAAAAGGGCUAUGACAUCUUGGGAUGCACCAUCCCUUAUUAUUGAGAUGUAUAAAGAAUGUAUCCUUUUGACUCUGCUUAGUUCUAUCAAUGUGUAUUUCAGAUUUUCCUCCUAUCUAAUAAAUAUUUGACUGUUGUCUGAUUUAAA